rnacentral:rRNA from 1 species
CCUACGGGAGGCUGCAGUGGGGAAUAUUGCACAAUGGGCGAAAGCCUGACGCAGCGACGCCGCGUGAGGGAUGAAGGUCUUCGGUUCGUAAACCUCUGUCAGCAGGGAAGAACGGUCCCUGUGCUAAUCAGCAAUGCAUUGCCGGUACCUUCACAGGAAGCACCGGCUAACUCCGUGCCAGCAGCCGCGGUAAUACGGAGGGUGCGAGCGUUAAUCGGAAUUACGGGGCGUAAAGCGAGCGUAGGCGGUACGGCAAGUCAAGGGUGAAAGCCCCGCGCUGAACGUGGGAACUGCCUUUGAUACUGGGGAGCUGGAGUGCGUGAGAGGAUAGCGGAAUUCCAGGUGUAGGGGUGAAAGCCGUAGAUAUCAGGAGGAACAUCAGCGGCGAAGGCGACUAUCUGGCACAUAACUGACGCUGAGGAGCGAAAGCGUGGGGAGCAAACAGGAUUAGAUACCCGAGUAGUC